AACGACGUGGUACGUACGCUCCACACUGGGGGAUAACACUUAGAAAUAGGUGCUAAUACCGCAUAAGCGCACGGGACUGCAUGGUCUUGUGUGAAAAACUCCGGUGGUGUGAGAUGGACCCGCGUCUGAUUAGCUGGUUGGCGGGGUAACGGCCCACCAAGGCGACGAUCAGUAGCCGGCCUGAGAGGGUGGACGGCCACAUUGGGACUGAGACACGGCCCAAACUCCUACGGAAGGCAGCAG
rnacentral:rRNA from 1 species